rnacentral:rRNA from 1 species
AGAACGAACGCUGGCGGCAGGCUUAACACAUGCAAGUCGAACGCGUGUAGCAAUACACGAGUGGCGCACGGGUGAGUAACGCGUGGAUAUCUGCCUUUUGGUUCGGAAUAACCCCGGGAAACUGGGGCUAAUACCGGAUGGUUCCUACGGGAUAAAGAUUUAUCGCCAAAAGAUGAGUCCGCGUCCGAUUAGCUAGUUGGUGGGGUAAUGGCCUACCAAGGCGACGAUCGGUAGCUGGUCUGAGAGGACGAUCAGCCACACUGGGACUGAGACACGGCCCAGACUCCUACGGGAGGCAGCAGUGGGGAAUAUUGGACAAUGGGGGCAACCCUGAUCCAGCCAUGCCGCGUGAGUGAUGAAGGCCUUCGGGUUGUAAAGCUCUUUUGGUCGGGGACGAUGAUGACGGUACCCGCAGAAUAAGCCCCGGCUAACUUCGCGCCAGCAGCCGC